AGAACGCUGAAGCUUGGUGCUUGCACCGAGCGGAUGAGUUGCGAACGGGUGAGUAACGCGUAGGUAACCUGCCUCUUAGCGGGGGAUAACUAUUGGAAACGAUAGCUAAUACCGCAUAAAAGUCGAUAUCGCAUGAUAUUGAUUUGAAAGGUGCAAAUGCAUCACUAAGAGAUGGACCUGCGUUGUAUUAGCUAGUUGGUGAGGUAACGGCUCACCAAGGCGACGAUACAUAGCCGACCUGAGAGGGUGAUCGGCCACACUGGGACUGAGACACGGCCCAGACUCCUACGGGAGGCAGCAGUAGGGAAUCUUCGGCAAUGGGGGCAACCCUGACCGAGCAACGCCGCGUGAGUGAAGAAGGUUUUCGGAUCGUAAAGCUCUGUUGUAAGAGAAGAACGAGUGUGAGAGUGGAAAGUUCACACUGUGACGGUAACUUACCAGAAAGGGACGGCUAACUACGUGCCAGCAGCCGCGGUAAUACGUAGGUCCCGAGCGUUAUCCGGAUUUAUUGGGCGUAAAGCGAGCGCAGGCGGUUAGAUAAGUCUGAAGUUAAAGGCUGUGGCUUAACCAUAGUACGCUUUGGAAACUGUUUAACUUGAGUGCAGAAGGGGAGAGUGGAAUUCCAUGUGUAGCGGUGAAAUGCGUAGAUAUAUGGAGGAACACCGGUGGCGAAAGCGGCUCUCUGGUCUGUAACUGACGCUGAGGCUCGAAAGCGUGGGGAGCAAACAGGAUUAGAU
rnacentral:rRNA from 1 species